GGUGGGAUGGCAGAGCGGCCCAUUGCGUCUGCCUUGAAAGCAGAUGGCGCAAGCCUCCUGGGUUCGAAUCCCAGUCCCACCG
rfam:Natronomonas moolapensis 8.8.11 complete genome